UCAUGACUUGUGAAUUUUACCUCUAAGUUUAACACCAAGAACGUUCUCCAUUUUCCCCAACACUAGUUGAUUAGGCACUGCCUUACCAUUCUCAUACUCGGCAACAACCUGCGUCCUUUCAUUGAUCUUCUUCGCUAGAUCAGCUUGGCUCAUCUUCUUCUCAAUCCGCGCUUUCUGUAUUGCUUGCCUUACACCCACCGGCAAUUUCUCAAGUGCCGCUGGUUCCGCCGCCUCAUCUAGCUUUCUUACAUUAACUGCCAACGUCGCCGCCUUCUUAUUCAAACCAGCGUCGAUUUUCUUCACCGUUUGAACUUGUGCUCCAGCUCGCAAUGCCUGAUUCACAAUUUUUGGAUCCUUCAGGUCUUGGGCCUUCAUCUUUGGCUUCUGCAGCACGAUUGGAUCCCAAUCUUGUUUCAAUCCCCCUGUUGGUCGCAUCGGCAUCUUCUAUCAAUCAAAAUAUCUAAGUCAAUUGAUUAAUAUGAUUUUUGUUAGUUGGAUGAACUUUUGAUUGAGGAAAAACAUGGCAGAGGAGGCUCUUAUAUAUAGCGGAGAGAAUCUAGAAAGUUCUGGUAAAAUGUGGAGAACAAAGGGUGUAUGGAAAGUUCUGGAGUCAG
rnacentral:misc_RNA from 1 species